GCCGGGCGUGGUGGCGGGCGCCUAUAAUCCCAGCUACUCAGGAGGCUGAGGCAGGAGAAUUGCUUGAACCCGGGGGGCUGGAGGACGCAGUGAGCCGAGAUUGUGCCACUGCACUCCGGCCUGGGCAACAAAGCAAAACUCUGCCUCAA
ensembl:misc_RNA Metazoa_SRP Metazoan signal recognition particle RNA